CGUACGGCCGUGCCCACACCGGGAACGGCCAGGGGCAGGCAACACGCGCCCCAGGGGCGAAGCCGUACGUCCGCGUACGGCCGGGCACUCAUCCGGCCCGAGCCCGACAGCUCACUCCGUAGGCGUCGGUGAGAAGGAAG
rnacentral:sRNA from 2 species